UACGUAGGGGGCGAGCGUUGUCCGGAUUCAUUGGGCGUAAAGCGCUUUAAGGCGGUUCGCUAAGUCGGGUGUGAAACCUCCAGGCUCAACCUGGAGACGCCACUCGGUACUGGCGUGACUAGAGUUCGGCAGGGGAUCACGGAAUUCCUGGUGUAGCGGUGAAAUGCGUAGAGAUCGGGAAGAACAUCGGUGGCGAAAGCGCUCUACUGGACCACAACUGACACUCAGGGACGAAAGCUAGGGGAGCGAAUGGG
rnacentral:rRNA from 1 species